rnacentral:rRNA from 1 species
GAUGAACGCUGGCGGCGUGCCUAAUACAUGCAAGUCGAGCGAACGGACGAGAAGCUUGCUUCUCUGAUGUUAGCGGCGGACGGGUGAGUAACACGUGGAUAACCUACCUAUAAGACUGGGAUAACUUCGGGAAACCGGAGCUAAUACCGGAUAAUAUUUUGAACCGCAUGGUUCAAAAGUGAAAGACGGUCUUGCUGUCACUUAUAGAUGGAUCCGCGCUGCAUUAGCUAGUUGGUAAGGUAACGGCUUACCAAGGCAACGAUGCAUAGCCGACCUGAGAGGGUGAUCGGCCACACUGGAACUGAGACACGGUCCAGACUCCUACGGGAGGCAGCAGUAGGGAAUCUUCCGCAAUGGGCGAAAGCCUGACGGAGCAACGCCGCGUGAGUGAUGAAGGUCUUCGGAUCGUAAAACUCUGUUAUUAGGGAAGAACAUAUGUGUAAGUAACUGUGCACAUCUUGACGGUACCUAAUCAGAAAGCCACGGCUAACUACGUGCCAGCAGCCGCGGUAAUACGUAAGUGGCAAGCGUUAUCCGGAAUUAUUGGGCGUAAAGCGCGCGUAGCGGUUUUUUAAGUCUGAUGUGAAAGCCCACGGCUCAACCGUGGAGGGUCAUUGGAAACUGGAAAACUUGAGUGCAGAAGAGGAAAGUGGAAUUCCAUGUGUAGCGGUGAAAUGCGCAGAGAUAUGGAGGAACACCAGUGGCGAAGGCGACUUUCUGGUCUGUAACUGACGCUGAUGUGCGAAAGCGUGGGGAUCAAACAGGAUUAGAUACCCUGGUAGUCCACGCCGUAAACGAUGAGUGCUAAGUGUUAGGGGGUUUCCGCCCCUUAGUGCUGCAGCUAACGCAUUAAGCACUCCGCCUGGGGAGUACGACCGCAAGGUUGAAACUCAAAGGAAUUGACGGGGACCCGCACAAGCGGUGGAGCAUGUGGUUUAAUUCGAAGCAACGCGAAGAACCUUACCAAAUCUUGACAUCCUUUGACAACUCUAGAGAUAGAGCCUUCCCCUUCGGGGGACAAAGUGACAGGUGGUGCAUGGUUGUCGUCAGCUCGUGUCGUGAGAUGUUGGGUUAAGUCCCGCAACGAGCGCAACCCUUAAGCUUAGUUGCCAUCAUUAAGUUGGGCACUCUAAGUUGACUGCCGGUGACAAACCGGAGGAAGGUGGGGAUGACGUCAAAUCAUCAUGCCCCUUAUGAUUUGGGCUACACACGUGCUACAAUGGACAAUACAAAGGGCAGCGAAACCGCGAGGUCAAGCAAAUCCCAUAAAGUUGUUCUCAGUUCGGAUUGUAGUCUGCAACUCGACUACAUGAAGCUGGAAUCGCUAGUAAUCGUAGAUCAGCAUGCUACGGUGAAUACGUUCCCGGGUCU